CCCUAUGGGGUGCGCAAUACUCACCUGUGCAGAAAUAUUGACGGCACUUUCCUUGUCAAUUUUCGCUUCUCUCAGAAUAUCCAGAGGAAGCCUUAUCCCCUGACUGUUCCCCCAUUUUUUGAUCGUAGUAAGCAUUCUCAUCACCUCAUGUAUAUACAAGUAUAUACACAACUUGAACACGUGUCAAAACAAGUAUUUAUACAUAUCGAUGGAUGUCGAUGUUAUGGUAUAUUGUUCCUGGAAAUUAAAAACAGUUUUACGGGGAGUGGUAUAGAUGUGGUGGGGAACAGCCGGGAACGGAUGUGGAAUGCCAUUUGGGAUGUUUAUGAUGCCGUUGUUCUUUCUGAUAAUAAUGGGGAUCCUCUUUUAUACAUUUAAUCGCAGGAUGAAUGUGUUUGAGAACCAUCGAUCAGGAAGCUUCAGCGACAAAGAUGACAUAUUGAAGGAAUUGGCGGGAGAGC
rnacentral:rRNA from 1 species